rnacentral:rRNA from 1 species
GAUGAACGCUGGCGGCGUGCCUAAUACAUGCAAGUCGAGCGAACAGAUGAGGAGCUUGCUCCUCUUACGUUAGCGGCUGACGGGUGUGUAACACGUGGAUAACCUUCCUUUUAUACUUGGAUAACUUCGGGAAACCUGUGCUCAUACCGGCUAAUAUAUUGUACCGCAUGGUUCAAUAGUUUAAGACGUUUUUUCUGUCUCUUUUAGAUUGAUCCCCGCCGCAUUAGCUAGUUGGUAAGGUAACGGCUUACCAAGGCAACGAUGCGUAGCCGACCUGAGAGGGUGAGCGGCCACACUGGAACUGAGACACGGUACAGACUACUACGGGAGGCAGCAGUAGGGAAUAUUCCGCAAUGGGCGAAAGCAUGACGGAGCAAAGCCGCGUGAGUGAUGAAGGACUUCGGAUCGUAAAACUCUGUUAUUAGGGAAGAAAAAAUGUGUAAGUAAAUAUGCACGUCAUGACGGUACCUAAACAGAAAGCCACGGCUAACUACGUG